GGAAUCUUGCGCAAUGGGCGAAAGCCUGAUCCAGCAACGCCGCGUGAGGGAUGACGGCCUUCGGGUUGUAAACCUCUUUCAGCAGGGACGAAGCGAAAGUGACGGUACUUGCAGAAGAAGGACCGGCCAACUACGUGCCAGCAGCCGCGGUAAUACGUAGGGUGCGAGCGUUAUCCGGAAUCAUUGGGCGUAAAGAGCUCGUAGGCGGUUCAGCAAGUCGGCUGUGAAAGUCUGAGGCUCAACCUCAGAAUUGCAGUCGAUACUGCUGUGACUCGAGUCCGGUAGAGGAGAACGGAAUUCCCGGUGUAGCGGUGAAAUGCGCAGAUAUCGGGAGGAACACCAGUAGCGAAGGCGGUUCUCUGGGCCGGCACUGACGCUGAGGAGCGAAAGCGUGGGGAGCAAA
rnacentral:rRNA from 1 species